UACGGAGGGUGCAAGCGUUAUCCGGAUUUACUGGGUUUAAAGGGUGCGUAGGUGGGUCUGUAAGUCAGUGGUGAAAUCUCCGAGCUUAACUCGGAAACUGCCAUUGAUACUAUAGAUCUUGAAUUAUCUGGAGGUAAGCGGAAUAUGUCAUGUAGCGGUGAAAUGCUUAGAUAUGACAUAGAACACCAAUUGCGAAGGCAGCUUACUACGGAUCGAUUGACACUGAGGCACGAAAGCGCGGGGAUCAAACAGG
rnacentral:rRNA from 1 species